GACAGAGGGUGCAACGUUGUUCGGAAUUACUGGGCGUAAAGCGCGUGUAGGCGGCUAUGUAAGUCGGGCGUGAAAUCCCACGGCUCAACCGUGGAAGUGCACCCGAAACUGCGUAGCUAGAGUCCUGGAGAGGAAGGUGGAAUGCUUGGUGUAGAGGUGAAAUUCGUAGAUAUCAAGCGGAACACCGGUGGCGAAGGCGGCCUACUCGUCGGAGCGGUAACGUGACGCUGAGACGCGAAAGCGUGGGGAGCAAACAGG
rnacentral:rRNA from 1 species